rnacentral:rRNA from 1 species
UACGGAGGGAGCUAGCGUUGUUCGGAAUCACUGGGCGUAAAGGGUGCGUAGGCGGUUCUUUAAGUCAGGGGUGAAAUCCUGGAGCUCAACUCCAGAACUGCCUUUGAUACUGAAGAUCUUGAGUUCGGGAGAGGUGAGUGGAACUGCGAGUGUAGAGGUGAAAUUCGUAGAUAUUCGCAAGAACACCAGUGGCGAAGGCGGCUCACUGGCCCGAUACUGACGCUGAGGCACGAAAGCGUGGGGAGCAAACAGG